rnacentral:rRNA from 1 species
UGGGGAAGUAUUGGACAAUGGGCGCAAGCCUGAUCCAGCCAUACCGCGUGGGUGAAGAAGGCCUUCGGGUUGUAAAGCCCUUUUGUUGGGAAAGAAAUCCAGCUGGCUAAUACCCGGUUGGGAUGACGGUACCCAAAGAAUAAGCACCGGCUAACUUCGUGCCAGCAGCCGCGGUAAUACGAAGGGUGCAAGCGUUACUCGGAAUUACUGGGCGUAAAGCGUGCGUAGGUGGUCGUUUAAGUCCGUUGUGAAAGCCCUGGGCUCAACCUGGGAACUGCAGUGGAUACUGGGCGACUAGAGUGUGGUAGAGGGUAGCGGAAUUCCUGGUGUAGCAGUGAAAUGCGUAGAGAUCAGGAGGAACAUCCAUGGCGAAGGCAGCUACCUGGACC